ACGGAAGGCAGCAGUGAGGAAUAUUGGUCAAUGGACGGAAGUCUGAACCAGCCAUGCCGCGUGAAGGAAUAAGGUCCUAUGGAUUGUAAACUUCUUUUGUAUGGGAGCAAUAAGAGCUACGUGUAGUUCGAUGAGAGUACCAUACGAAUAAGCAUCGGCUAACUCCGUGCCAGCAGCCGCGGUAAUACGGAGGAUGCAAGCGUUAUCCGGAUUUAUUGGGUUUAAAGGGUGCGUAGGCGGUCUGGUAAGUCAGUGGUGAAAUGUCUCCGCUCAACGGAGAAAGUGCCAUUGAUACUGUUGGACUAGAAUUCGGAUGCCGUGGGAGGAAUGUGUAGUGUAGCGGUGAAAUGCUUAGAUAUUACACAGAACACCGAUUGCGAAGGCAUCUCACGAAUCCGAGAUUGACGCUGAGGCACGAAAGUGUGGGGAUCAAACAGGAUUAGAUACCCUGGUA
rnacentral:rRNA from 1 species